rnacentral:miRNA from 1 species
UCUGUCGCUGGAAAGAUGGUAC